CCCUUUGUGAACAUACCUAUCACUGUUGCUUCGGCGGGUAGGGUCUCCGCGACCCUCCCGGCCUCCCGCCUCCGGGCGGGUCGGCGCCCGCCGGAGGAUAACCAAACUCUGAUUUAACGACGUUUCUUCUGAGUGGUACAAGCAAAUAAUCAAAACUUUUAACAACGGAUCUCUUGGUUCUGGCAUCGAUGAAGAACGCAGCGAAAUGCGAUAAGUAAUGUGAAUUGCAGAAUUCAGUGAAUCAUCGAAUCUUUGAACGCACAUUGCGCCCGCCAGCAUUCUGGCGGGCAUGCCUGUUCGAGCGUCAUUUCAACCCUCAAGCUCUGCUUGGUGUUGGGGCCCUACAGCUGAUGUAGGCCCUCAAAGGUAGUGGCGGACCCUCCCGGAGCCUCCUUUGCGUAGUAACUUUACGUCUCGCACUGGGAUCCGGAGGGACUCUUGCCGUAAAACCCCCCAAUUUUCCAAAGGUUGACCUCGGAUCAGGUAGGAAUACCCGCUGAACUUAAGCAUAUCAA
rnacentral:rRNA from 1 species